UACGUAGGGGGCGAGCGUUGUCCGGAUUUAUUGGGCGUAAAGAGCUCGUAGGCGGCUUGGCAAGUCGGGUGUGAAACCUCCAGCUCAACCUGGAGACGCCACUCGAUACUGCCAUGGCUAGAGUCCGGUAGGGGACCACGGAAUUCCUGGUGUAGCGGUGAAAUGCGCAGAUAAUCAGGAGGAACACCAGUGGCGAAGGCGGCUUUCUGGACGAUAACUGACGCUGAGACGCGAAAGCGUGGGGAGCAAACAGG
rnacentral:rRNA from 1 species